rnacentral:lncRNA from 1 species
AUUUGAAGUAGCUCCUCUUCACAAAAAGGGAUGACCCUGAGAUGCUGCUACCCCUUCCAGACACUAUUACAAAGUCAGAAGGCAGAGGCUGAGAAUAUACCCAAGACCUUUCAACAGAGUUCUCAUCACAGCCUCCUCAGGGACUCCAAGAACAAACUCCAGUUGGUACUGCCAAAUACAGGACAGUCAAGAGGACUUUCAAGGAAGACAAGAAGAAAACAUGCUGCUUGUUUCAACAUUAGCACCUGACAUGUAGCCAAAGCAUCAUAAAGAAAAGUAGUAGAAGACUUCAAGAAUAUGUCUACAAUGAAAAUUGGUAGACAGAGAGUACUAUAGUGAUAAUGAACAUAGAAUAUGGUGCCAGGCCUACCUGGUCAUAAUCCACUCUGCCUCUUACUUACAAUAUAACUGUGGCAUUUACCUAAACUCUG